GCGGGCGUCGUAUAAUGGUUAUUACCCUAGGUUUCCAACCUAGAGACGGCGGUUCGAUUCCGCUCGCCCGCUCCA
rnacentral:tRNA from 1 species